rnacentral:lncRNA from 1 species
CUCAAGGAUUGGAAUGCUUGCAACUCGAAUUUUUAUAUGUAUCUCCCAAAGACUCUUACCUUCAAAUCAAUAUUCCUGAGAACUUUUUUGCAGGGAUGCGGAAGCUUAGAGUUGUAGAUUUUACUGGGAUGCAAUUAUAUUGCUUGCCAUCUUCAAUUGAUCUCUUAGUAAAUCUUCAAACACUAUGUUUAGAUCAAUGCAUGUUGGGAGACAUAGCUAUUAUUGGAAGGUUGAAGAAUCUGGAAAUCCUUAGCUUUUUAAAAUCAGAUAUUGUGCAGUUGCCUGAAGAACUACGUGAAUUGACUAAGCUAAGGUUGUUAGAUUUAUCCAAUUGUCUCCGGCUAAAAGUUAUUGCACCCAAUGUCCUAUCAAGCUUAACUCGAUUGGAAGAACUCUACAUGAAAAAUUGCUUUAUCGAAUGGGAGGUUGAAAGCCCCAAUAGUGGAAGAUGUACUGCCAGCCUUGUUGAGUUGUUGCAAUUGCCUCGACUGACCACUCUAGAAAUAGAUGUCAAAAAUGAUAGUAUUUUACCAGAAGGAUUUUUUGCAAAAAAAUUAGAAAGGUUCAAAAUAUCAAUAGGAGAUGAGUCAUUCAAGCCUCCCGUGCUUGCGAAUGAAUGGUUCCGUAGUCGGCGGCUUUUGAUCAGUAAUCCUUCGAGUUUAAGAACCAUUAAGCUGAAGCUUAGCUCAAAGCCUAUUUGCUCGAAGAAAAUGCAGGGCAUCCAGAAUGCUGAAUACUUGUGUUUGGACAAGCUGCAAGGUGUGAAUAAUGUUCUUUUCGAUAUGGACACUGAGGGCUUUCUACAGUUGAAGCAUCUCCAUGUUCAAAAUAAUCCUGAAUUCUCGUGUGUUGUUGACUCAACGGAGAGGGUAUCUCGCGAUGCCUUUCCUCUUUUGGAGUCACUUACUCUUUACAAUUUGAUUAACAUGGAGAGGGUGUGUACUGAUCCACUCAAAGUAGAGUCUUUCUGUGAACUUAAAACCAUAAAAGUGGGAAAAUGUGAUGAGUUGAGUAAUAUCUUCUUGCUGUCUUCCACAAGCUGCCUUCCCAGACUUGAGAGGAUUGCAGUUUUUGAUUGCGAUAAGAUUGAAGAGGUCUUUGCAAUUGGUGGAGAACCAGAUGUCGACAACUAUAAUACAAUGGAGAAGACAGAGUUUGCUGCAUUAAAAUGUUUACAUCUGCGGAAGCUUCCAAAGCUUGAAAGUUUUUGCUCUGAAGUAAAGAGACCAAAUACACAAGAGUCGCAAGAGGAAUUGACAGCUAUUACUUGCUCGAACGAAAUCAGUUUGUUGGAGGAGGACAAGCUUGAUACUUCGACACCGCUUUUCAAGGAGAAGGUAAGCAAUUAUAAUGAAACCAAAGCAUUCGUUUUUCUUUCUCAAUUUAUUCUAUCGUGCAUUCUCAUUUGAUGACAACUGUAGAAAAUAAAUUAUAAGGGAAAUAGAAAAUGAGAAUGGAAAUUAGAAUCUAACACACUCACUCACUAAGCUCGCUUUACACAUUAAUGAUGUGAAUUAAAUUGCAGAUUAAGUGUAUGUUUGGUAUGGUAAUAAUUCUCAAAAAAUCAUUUUUAGCACAGAUUUCUAAAAACUAUAUUUGAAAAAAGUUUUAACACAAUGUUUUGUAAAUGGGUGAGCUAUUUGCACCUCAAAAAUUACUCUAAACACUCUAAUUGAAAUAAAAAUUUAUAACAAAAAUAUCUAUCAUAUGAAUUACGUUAAGGACAAUUUAUUAUAAGUCAAUAUUACAUAAUUACUAUGAACGCCCCAUAUAACACACUCAUUAUUUAAUAUAUAUAAUUUUCAUGUUUUAAACCUUAAAAAAUUUUAUUUACAAAAUCUUCAUCAAUACUUAGAUGAAUAAUGAUAAAAUCAAUAUUUUUCUUUUAUUUUUCCAUAAAUAAAAUUAAUUUUGCACUCAUUAUUUUUAUUUUUUCAAAAAUAAAGUAAGUAUCUUUUUCCUUUUAUUGGGCUUUUGACCUCUUUUUUUUUUCUUCUUUGUCCUCUUCUCUUCUUCUCCUUCCUUUUUUAGAGUUAUUAUGGAAUAUUUCUUCUUAUUAUUUUCUCAUUGCAAGUUAUUUUAAGUGCAAAAUCCAAUAUUAAACAUAAGUAAACAAAAAAAUUAAUAACUAAAAUACUUGUUUUACUAUUUAAAUUACAUUCGGUACACAUGCAUGUUUGGUAAUUUACUAUUAUAAAAUACAUGUUUUAUUAUUUUUCAAAAAUAAAAGAGGUUUUUUAUAAUUCAUAAAUAAUAUUGAGCACACUAUUUUAAUAAUCACUUUUCAAUUACAUUUGUCAAACUCUUUGGUACAUUAGAUUGUCAAAUGAUCAAAUACCAAACACGCACUGAAGCUGUCACUUGGAAGAAGGUUUUGAUGGCUUAUAUUUACAAUCAAAGAAGAUACUUCUCAGCUUAUAUUGGAUCUAAUAAAAAAUUAAUGUUUAGGUUGUGCUCCCCAGCUUGGAGGAUUUGAAGCUGGUUGGAAUUAAUGUCGAAAAGAUUUGGCAAAAUCAACUUCCAGCCAUGUUUCUUUGCUUUCAAAGUUUAACUAAAUUGAUCGUGGGGAAGUGUCACAAAUUAAAAUGUAUAUUUUCGACUUCUAUGCUCAGAAGCUUUGAACAACUCCGACAGCUGAAUAUAUACAACUGUAUGGGUUUGCUUGAGAUUAUUUCCGAAGGAGCAGAUCAAGUGCCACCUUGUUUUAUCUUUCCGCGGCUGACAUUUCUAAGACUACGUAAACUACCAGAACUUAGAUGUUUAUAUCCUGGAAUGCAUACUUCGGAAUGGCCGGCACUAAAAAUGUUGAAGGUCUUUGGUUGUGACAAAAUAAAGUUAUUCGGUUCCGAAUUAUCUAGCUUCCAUGGAAACAUUGAUAAGAAUCAGCUUCAUAUCCCAGCGCAACAGCCCCUGUUGUUGAUCGAAAAGGUAUAUAUGCAACCAUUUAUUUGAUUUUUUAUCAGUUGAGUCUUACUGUUUCUUAUGUUUUACGUUUGAUUCUUUGUUGCAAAGAAACUCACAAACAAAAGAUUUUAGAAAUACCCACUGUACAUGUAUGUAUUGCUCAAAAUUGUUUGACAGAACAUCAAUAGAACUAAUUAGUUUUUAUAUGAGUUGAUGAUGUUCAGAUCUUCCCCAGCUUGGAGAAACUCCUAUUAAGUGGAAAGGAUUUCAGGAUGAUUUUGCAGGGUGAUUACCCACAAAACCUAUUUGGCAGUCUUAAAUACAUUAAGGUUGCGGAUGAUGACUCAGCUUGUUUUCCACUUGGUUUACUUGAGAAAUUUCAAAAUCUGGAAAUCCUCUUUCUGAGUUGUACUUCAUACACAGAGAUAUUAUCAAAUGAAGGACACUCGGAGAAGCACGUGGGCAAGUUCUCACAAGUAAAACAUUUACAGCCGUACAAACUGAAUGAUCUGAAGCACCUAUGGAAACAAGACUCCAAACUGGACUCCAUUCUUGCAAAUCUUGAAAUUCUACGAGUAUAUUGUUGUCAAAAUCUGACUGUUCUAUUGCCAUCAUCAUCGGUAUCGUUUUGGAAUCUAACAGAUCUGCAAGUUUGGGGCUGCAAGAAAUUGAUGAAUUUGGUAACAUCCUCCACAGCAAAGAGUCUAGUGCGCCUCAUGACAAUGAAGGUGUGUGGGAGCAAAGCAAUGACACAAGUGGUGGUAAGUGAGGAAGAUGGAGCAGAAGAUGAAAUUGUUUUCAGCAAAUUGAAGACAUUGUCUCUGCUUGAUUUAGAUAGCCUCACAAGUUUCUACUCUGGCAAUUACACCUUCAAAUUCCCAUCUCUACAAGAUUUAGAAGUGAUUGGUUGUCCCAAGAUGAAGAUUUUCACCACAGGAGAAUUAUGCACACCGCCGAGAGUAAAUGUCUGGUAUGGAGAGGGAGAUGGUGAAUGUCGUUGGGCUAAUGACCUUAACGUUACGAUACAAGAGUUGCAUGCUGAAAAGGUACGGUUAACCCACCAACUUAACUCCCAAGGAAAAAUUUUACAAAUUUGCACUUUUUAACAAAAUUUAGAAAAUAGAUCAUGGACAACCAAGUUUGACUCAUUAGAAUAUUUAUUAUUGAGUAAGUGCAUGAUCGGGUUUGAAAAAGUAUGAGACACUUCUGUAUGUAGUUCUUGAAACUGUCCAAUUUAAAACAGACAUAUUCAAUUCUCAAAAAAUCAUGAAUCAUUAGUUUUAACUUCAUAAUAUAAAAGUCGUGUCAAAUUAAUGAAUGAGAAUUUUGUUUUCAGAUGUUGGAGGGGUCGUCAUCUAACUUGAGGAAGUACGAUUGGUGAUCAUGUUGGCUUUUUAAUUUAUUACUUGGAGUUGUGAAUUUGAAGAAUAAAGUCCCAGGUAAAUAAUUUAAUUUCCCUUAUUUGAUCUCAUAGCUUGUUUCAUCGGUUCACCUGAACUAUUUAGAUUGCGUCACUGGUUUAUUGUUAACUUUAAAAUGAAGUUUUAAUGUUUCAUUCGGGGCUUUAUGAGCAAAUUUUACAUCAUUGAAUGUCCUUUGGUCUGAACUUUUGAGCUUUUUGUUUGAUAGUCAAGGCUUUAUAGUAUGCUAUUUAUAAUUCCUUAAGAAUGUGCAAAAUUUUUUAUGAUAAAAUUGCUUGAAUAUGUCAUUGAAAGGAACUUCUAUGUUGCUCUUUAUGAUUACAGAGUUCUCAAUGUUAUCACUCUUCUUUUGCAGGAUGUGGAAUCAAAGAUACUUUUCUAUGAAAUUUGUGUUCCUUGUAUUAAAAGUUUACAUGCUGAAGGGCUUCCUGUGUUAUCUUUGCUGUUCUACUUGUGCUUUACUUCAUUGUGUCGCUACAGCUUUGUGAGUGUUAUGUUAACUAUUGUUUCCUUCAUUUGGGCAUUGUAAGUUUCGAAGGCGCUACAUUGCUUGACUAAAGAUGCUUAAAUUUAUCAUCUGUUUGUACCCCUUGUAUUAUAUACAAUAAAUUUUUGAUGUAUUUUGACAUUUAAUACGAGAUAUGUUUGAAUUUUCAUUGAAAGGUUUCAUAAUUGUUCAAAUUUAUCUUCAGUUUUAUUUUUGUUAUCUUGUUGGAACCAAAUUGACAACCAAGAUCAAUUUGGAACACCCAAGAUCCACUCUAAGAAACUUGAUCUUAACUAGGUCUGAUACUAGACUGAGUUUAAGAAGAAAUUUGCCUAGGUAAGUGGAAUCAAACACAACUCAAGGAACAAAAGCAGAAAAGAAAGAAAACAGAUCUCACACACAGCACCAAGAUUUAUAGUGGUUCGGCCAUUUUCUUGCCUAUAUCCACUGUGAAAAGAGAAGCAAGCUUUCACUGAUUUCAGAGAUUACAAGUCACAGAGAUGAAGAGUAUGUGUAACAGAAUCGAAACCCCUCAGUAACAGAUCAUAGAGCCUUUUACAUUUCAAUCAAAACCCUCUAAAAGGACCCCAAACAAUCAGCUCACGCUCCUGGGUUUCUCAGCUAAGCAAUCCCAGCUGCAUCUGCAUCCCGCGUGAAUUAACUGAAUUAACAGCUUCUGGAACUGCUCAGGGACACUUGUCAAAUGCUCGUAUAAUUUGCUACUUCAAAAACCGACAUGACAUCACUUCCUUCCCCAAGCAUCAGACACGUCAUACACAUUCCCGAAUCCAGAUUUGAGCUUCCCCUCUUCAGCAUAUCUCAAAUACAUGUUAGGCCUUGCAUGCAUAGACGCACGUAAUAUCCCAGAAGAGUUUUAUCAGAUGAUUUUACUAUCAUCGUUGUUGUUGCUGCUCCCGCCGCCGCCAUUAUUACUAUUAUUAUACUACUACUUGAAAAUUUCAAGUAUUUUAGAUGAGAAAUUUAUUAUGUUAGAGAUAUUCAUAAUAUACAUGAUGCUGAAAUCAGGGAAUUUGUUGUCUCAGUUUGUUUUAUUUUUGUUUGCCUCGAAUCAAAUUUUGAAAUUUAAGAACUAUGGUAAGAGAUGGAACAAGAGGAGUUAAAAAAUUUGCCAAAAUUGAUGUAGCAAUGAAACAAUUGUAUCCUAACAUGUUUAGCAUCAUUCUACUUUAUGAUCAUUGUUGUUCCGUUAUUUUAGUUCUUGCUCUGUUUGUUCUGUUUCUCUGUUUAUUUCACUGGGGGUUUGCUUCACAAAAUCUUACUUUCAAAAUUUAGAAGGCAAGGAAAGAGCGCUUCGAAAAUGCAAGAGGUAUCAAAUCAUGCAUUAAAAAACUUGUUGGCUGCUGGCUGGUCUAUUUCAUUGGCACCGAUCGAAUCAUUAUCCCUAAAAUAAUUAGGAGUCGGAGAUAUAAGUGUGAAAAUAACAGGAUCAUUUACAACAUGGAAAUCAGUCGCCAUUGGUAGGUGGCGCUGCAUAUGAUAAUAACAACUGAUUGAUACCAACAAAGUGUUGGCUCCACUGGUAAUGGAGUCCCCUUAAGUGGCUUGACUGGAUUUGCUCCCCAGUUCGAGUCGCAGGGAAGUCGCCUUUGUUGGGAGAAUCUGUGCCUCCCGGUUCGAGCGGAGACUUCUAGUCUGGGUUGUGGUACGGGCUUAAAGGUGCCUCCCACAGUUGGGGCCCUCCCCAGGAUACCUCGUGAUUAAUAUAAAAAAAAAAAAACAACUGAUUGAUGAAAUUAAUGCCAUCAAUCUGCCUGUUAAUGUUGUUGACGCGUGUCAAAUUUUCAUGCAUAUUAGAAUUUAUUAGUGAGGUUGCAUUAUGGUCCAUAUCGUCAAUAACUUUAGCAGUCAAAUUUUACGCCACUGGAGUCAAAUUUUCAUGCAUAAAGCUGUUGGCUGGUCUGUUUGGCUCUACAAUGAUUUAUCUUUUCGACUUAAAAUGAUUCCAAAAAGCCAUCAGCAAUCUCUAGUGCAACUCUUCAAAAAAAAAAAUUAAAAUAAAAAUAAAAGUCUCAAAAAGUAUCAUUAAUUUAAUUCUAUUGUUUCCGGGUAAUCAGAACGUGUUUGAUAAAUAUUUAUAAGUUACAGUUUGAAAAUUAAAUAGAUUUUAUUUAACAAAAAGAUAUUGUUGACGCGUGUCAAAUUUUCAUGCAUAUUAGAAUUUAUUAGUGAGGUUGCAUUAUGGUCCAUAUCGUCAAUAACUUUAGCAGUCAAAUUUUACGCCACCGGAGUCAAGUGAUUUUUAAGCAGUUUUAUUCAACUGGUUACCUGAGUUCGAAUCUUAAAGAGAUAAAUAGUUAAAAAUGAAUUUAGACUUUGCCUACUCCUUUAAUAAAAAAAGAAGGUCAUUUAGUCUUAACUUUUGAAAUUUUUAUUUGACAUUUCGGCUUUAUAGCAUGCGAUGUAUUUUCUUAAAUUUUAUAAUUCCUUGAGAAUGUGCAAACAUUUUAUGAUAAAAUUACUUAAAAAUGUCGUUGAAACGAACUGAACUUUUUAUGUUGAAAGAAAGCCUUAUUAUUUUUCUGUACUUCUAUGUAAUGCUUUAUGGUUACAAAAUUCUCAUUGUUAUCACUCUUCUUGUGCAAGAUCUGUAAUGAAAGAUACUUUUCUGUCAAAUUUGUGUUCCUGAUAUUAAAAGUUCACAUGCUGGGGGGCUUCCUAUUUCAUCUUUGUCAUUCUACUUGUGCUUUGCUUCAUUGUGUAGCUACAGCAUUAUAAGCGUUACCAUAACUUAUCUGCAGCAAUUUUAUAAUUUACUAUUAUUGUGGUUGUUGCUGCUAUCAUUGUUCUACUAGUUGGAAAAUUCGAAUUCUUUUAGACGUGACAUUUAUCAUAUUAGAUAUUCAAGGUAUACAUACAUGCAUAUAUAUAUAUAUAUAUAUACUGGGUAUCUGUUUAGAUAUGAUGCAGAGAAAUGACAGAAGUUGUAUUAAGUGACGAAGAUUGAGCAGCAAAACAAGAGAUAGUUUUCAGCAAAUUAAAGACGUUGGCUCUGUUUGAUUUAGUUAGACUCACAAGUUUCUGCUCUGGCAAUUGCACUUUCAAAUUCCCAUCCUUGCAAGAUUUAACUGUGAUUGACUGUCCCAAGAUGAAGAAUUUUACUAGAGGAGAAUUAUGGAUGCCAUCUGGUACGGAGAGAGAGAAGAUGAAAGCCGUUGGGCUAAUGACCUUAACACAACCAUACAACAACUACAUGCAGAAACGGUAUGAUUAAUUCACUAUUCUAUCUCCAAUGGAAAAGUUUUACAAAAUUUGCAAUUUUUUAACAAAACGUAGAAAACUGAUCAUUGACAAGUUAGUUUGAUUCAUUAGAAUAUUCGCUAUUACUUUUGUAUUUAAUUCAUCAAACUGUCCUAUUUAAUAUUGACAUUUUCACAAAAGUUAGAUAAUGUUUUUCAAUUCUCACAAAUUCGUUAAUAAUUAGUUUUAAUUUCAUAAUAUGAAAAUCUUGUCAAAGAAAUUGUGUUAUUAAACUUAUUAAAUCUCUCGCUAGUGGCUUCCUUCCUAAUCUCCAUGUGCUUUAGUAUUUAUUUCCAAGUGCCUAAUUUUACAACUUUUAAUUUAGAUUAAUGAAUGACAAUUCUUAUUUUUUCAGCUGUUGGAGGGGCUUUCAUCUUAGUCGACUUUAUACAAGUAAUCUGAUCAAAUACAUUUUAGUACUUGGAUAAGAUGUGGAUUUGAAGACUAAAGAUCGCAGGUAACUAAUUUUAUUACUUAUGUACUUUUCUCAUGGUUUUGUUUCAUCGUUUCAUCUAAACUCUUUGGAAUGCAUUAAUUUUGUUUAUUGUUAAUUUGGAACGAAGUUUUAACGUAUCAUUCAGGGAUUUUGUUUGCAUCAUUGAGGGUUGUUUGGCCUUAACUUCUGAGGUUUUUGACAUUCAGCUUUAUAUUGUGCUAUUUUUUGUAAUUUUAUAACUUCUUGAAAGCAUGCAUAUAUUUUUUUUCUUAUCAUGAUGCCUCGAAAAUGUCAUUAGAAGGGACAGCAGUUUUCUUUUUCUUAUUUAUUUUCAAGUAUCUACGUUUGCGAAUUUUAGUUCAACUUGUUGAAUGGGAAUUUUGUUUUCAGCUACGUACAAGACGAUGCCGCUGCUGCUGCCAUUGUUACUGUCAUAGUUACUAUUACUCGAAAAUUUCAAGUAAUUUAGUUGUGAAAUUCAUUAUGUUAGAGAUAUUCAAAAUAUAUAUGAUGCUGAAAGAAAAGAGUGGACUUGUUGUCUCAGUUUGUCUCAUUUUGUUUUCUCCAACUCUAAUUUUCAAAUUUUAGAAAUAUGGUAAGAGAAGGAACAAAAUGAGUAAAAAAAUUGUCAAAAUAGUUGUAGCUAUGAACAAUUAUAUCCAAACACAUUUAGCAUCAAUCUACUUUGCCAAAUUUUUUAGUCAUCGUCUUUGCUCGGUUGUUUUAGUUUUUGCCCUGUUUGUUCUCUUUAUUUUGAUUGAGUUUGCUUUACAAAGUCUAUCUUUCAAAACUUAGAAGGCGAGGAAAGAGCGGGUAGGAAAUGCAAAAGGUAUCAAAUCAUGCAUAUGGUCAAAUGCUCCUGUAUAUGAACACAUAAAGAACAAUUGAAAUAUCAUUCACCGGAUAACACAAACAAAUAAAAAAAAAAAAAAAAAGAAGAAAGAGAGAAAAUCUAAUCGUCUCAUUAUCCCGAACACAAAUAAUUAAACCAUCAAAUGUUUGCAAUGAGCACAAUCAGAUCAUCUCUUUGGAAUAAUUACAUGUUGGCUUGGCCUAUUUUUUGGCCGGUAAAAAGGUUUUUGGCUGGAGCAUUUGGCCUUAACUUUUUUUUUUUUUUGAGUCUAUAUCAAUUGAUGCCACUAUGUCAAUAAUAAUUGGUAGGAAAUAAAUUAAUAUGUAACUAUAUCUUCUUAAUUAAUUAUUUGUUUUUUUAUCCAUUUACAUUGGAAAAAAGGGGUGCAGGGUCAGGAAGCUUCUUAGACGUGGCACGUUCAAAAGCUUUUUUUUUUUUUUGUCUGAACCACAUGGUCCUGAGUAGGCCCUAACUGUGGGAGAUACCUUUAAGCUCAUACCACAAUCCAAACUAAUCUCCACUCGCACCAGGUCGGCCCGUAAGGGAUAAAGUACUGGCUAAAGUGGUGACUCCAUAUAAGAGCGGGGCUUGAACCUCUGACCUCUCUUAAGAAGUGAGAGUGCCGAACCACUCUGUUCAAAAGCUUUUCUUUUUUAAAAGCUGCGUCAAGCAUGACACGUCAACAUCAUUUACAAGUGGGAACAACUCUUUUUCAUAAAAGAAAAGCCUUUUUUGUUUUAAAAUAAAGUUUUUUUGGAUGAUUCACUAUUACUAAUUGCCCAAGUCAUUCUAUUGCGAAUACAUGCAAAUUAAUAAAGAGACUUGUGGGGUUGCUGGAUAGAAAUUGUUGAAUACAUACAAAUUAUUGAACAGAAAUCCAAUAAUUGAACACCGGCCAAUUCUUGUCCAAUCAAAUUAAAACUCAAUUAAUAUAUUCCACUAAAUUUUUCGUACAACAUCCUAUUCAGAUGAAUAAAAUGUAAAAAAUAAAAUAUAUAAUUCAAAAAAUUAUAAAGGAUGCAAUUUAGCAGGUCAUACAAUAUACCAAAAAAAGUCUUGGGGGUGCAGUGGGAAUAUUUCUUGACAGAAAGAGUCUUAAAAAUUUUUUCGCCAGAAAACAUUUUCUCUCUCUGAUCUCUGUAUUCUUCAGAUCCUCCUCCUUGCUUGAACGUCUGUAACUUUGUCAUCCAUGAUUUGCAUUCAAUUCUUGACGAAAAAACCUUUUUCCGGAUUUUCAUCUUUUGAUCUCAAACAUGCUUUGCUUCUGUUGAUUGUGGUCGCUUCUAGUGCUAGUUCUCUUCUUAUAUAGCUUUGUUCCCUUUUGCCAUCAGCUCUUUGCAUUUCCUUGGAUGAAGAAACCUUUUUCUUGUUUCAAUUUUCUGAUCUCAAAAGCACUUUGAUUCUAGUCUGCCACACUGAUUUUGUCCUUGUUUUGUACAAACAUAAUUUCGCCAUUAUCUGUUUGAUUAUCAAUUGACCCGUCGUUGACUCUAUUCUAUUUCUAUGUGAAAAAUACGAAAAAAAAAAAAAAGAGAUUGAAGAUGGUGGAAAGCAUUGUUACUGUUGUUUUAGAAGUUGUGAAAUGCUUGGCUCCUCCGACACAACGCCAACUUGAUUACUUGCGAAACUACAAUGAAAACAUUCAGAAACUCGAGGCAGAAACCGAGAGCCUGAAGGUUGAAAUUAGGAGCAUUGAGCGCAGAGUUUUUGGGGCCGAAAAACAAGGAGAAAAGAGUGAAGAGAAAGUCGAGAAGUGGUUGGUUAGCGCCAACAAGAUCAUUGAUGAGGUGAAUGCCAAAUUCAUGGGAGAUGAAGAGACUGCAAAUAAGCGAUGUCUCAAGGGGCUGUGUCCUAAUUUGAAGGCUCGCUAUCAGCUUAGCAAGAAAGCAGAGACACAGGUGAAGGCCCUUGUUGAGUGCCGAGAAGAAGCCGGUCGACUUGAUAGAAUUUCCUACCUUACCUAUCCGGACAAGAUAUGGCUCAAGUCCCACAAAGGUUACGAGGCCUUUGGAUCAAGGCUUUCUACUUUGAAGUGUAUACAAAACGCUUUGACAGAUGUUAAUGUCAGCAUCGUUGGAGUGUACGGCAUGGGCGGCGUUGGAAAGACGACUCUAGCGAAGGAGAUCGUUAGGCAAGCCUUGGCAGACAAGCUCUUUGAUCAAAUAGCCUUUUCAGAGGUUUCCGAAACUGCAGACAUAAAAAAGAUUCAGCGGGAUAUUGCUGAGGACUUGGGUCUCGCAUGGCAUGAGGAAACUGAAUCUAGAACUGCGAGUAGACUGUAUGAACAGUUGAAGAAUGAGAAGAAGAUUCUUGUGGUUCUAGAUAACAUAUGGAAGCAUCUUGAUUUGGAGACUGUUGGAAUUCCUUUUGGUGAUGAUUAUAGAGGUUGUAAACUCUUGCUGAUAGCAAGAGAUCGUAAUGUUUUGUUGGAUAUGGAUUCUAAACAUAACUUCUUUAUUGACAACUUAAAUGAAGAAGAAGCUUGGAGAUUGUUUAAGACGAUGGCGGGUGAUUAUGUUGAAAAUCGUCAGCUGAAAUCUACAGCAACAGAUGUAGCCAAGGGAUGUGGAGGCUUGCCUAUUGCCUUAGCUACAACAGCAAGGGCAAUGAGAGACAAGACUGUGCAUGAAUGGAAGAAUGCCUUGCGAGAACUUCAGACGCCUUCAGUGAUGAACUUCGAAGGACUGCCGGCAGAUACUUAUGCAAGAAUCGAGCUGAGUUUCAAGUAUUUAAAAGGUGAGCAGCUCAAGAAAAUUUUUCUGCUUUGUAGUCUAAUGGGUAAUCCUAUUUUUACUUCAGACCUGUUUAAAUACUCCAUGGGUUUGGGUAUACUCCAAGGAGUCAAGAAGAUGGAAGAUGCACGAAACCAAUUAUAUGCAUUGGCCUAUAAACUUAAAGACGCUUGUUUGUUGCUUGAGGGAGGUAGCAGCGAACAAUUUUCAAUGCAUGACGUCGUUCGCGAUGUUGGCAUAUCAAUUGCUUACCGGGACCAACAUGUAUUUUUGGCAAAAAAUGAGGAUGUGUUGGAGCUGCCGGACAAGGAAGCACUUGUAAAUUGCUAUGCGAUUUCUAUAAGUGGUUGCCGUAUUCAGGAGCUUCCUCAAGGAUUGGAAUGCUUGCAACUCGAACUUUUAUAUAUAUCUCCCAAAGACUCUUACCUUCAAAUCAAUAUUCCUGAGAACAUUUUUGCAGGGAUGCGGAAGCUUAGAGUUGUAGAUUUUACUGGGAUGCAAUUAUGUUGCUUGCCAUCUUCAAUUGAUCUCUUAGUAAAUCUUCAAACACUAUGUUUGGAUCAAUGCAUGUUGAG